AUGGUGUAAUGUAUGCAGUGUUAAAGACGCGAAACUGCGAACGGCUCAUUACAACARAUAUAAUGUUACUUGUUUCUUUGAAUUAARUGGAUAACUGCGGUAAUUCUGGAGCCAAUACAUGCACAAAACCUCGGACUCCGGUCGGGGUGCUAUUAUUGGAGCAAAACCAUUCGUUAGUCCUUUUGCUAACUCUGGAUAAUACUGCUUAUCGUACGGUCUCGAACCGACGAAGUUUCUUUCAAGUAUCUGCCCUAUCAACUGUCGUUGGUAGUGUAUUGGACUACCAUGGAUGCUAACGGGUAACGGAGGAUCAGGGUCUGACUCCGGAGAGGGAGCCUUAGAAACGGCUACCAUGUCUAAGGAUAGCAGCAGGCGCGAAAAUUACCCACUGUCAACACGACGAGGUAGUGACGAGAAAUAACGAGACCGUCCUCUAUGAGGUCGGUCAUUGGAAUGGGUACAACGUAGACACUUNAACGAGUACCUACAGGAGGGCAAGUCUGGUGCCAGCAGCCGCGGUAAUUCCAGCUCCUGUAAUGUAUAGAAUUAUUGUNGCGGUUAAAAAGUUCGUAGUUGGAUUGUCAGACUGGCUCGGGUUCACUCUAACGGGUGUUUACUCGUAGUCAGUAUUUUACGCGUUUGUAUGCGGUCGGCUAGUCUGGCCGUAURCUGCGCGUAGGAUUACUUUGAACGGCUUAAGUGCUCAAGGCGAGUCUUACGACUGAAUACCGGUGCAUGGAAUAAUGGAACCAAGGUUUCGGCCGAGUUUUAUUGGUUUUGUCGGCUGAAACAAUGGUUAACAGGAACAGGCCGGGGGCAUUCGUAUCGCUGCAGCGAGAGGUGAAAUUCGUGGACUGUAGCGAGACGCACUAAAGCGAAGGCAUUUGUCAAGAGUGUUUUCAUUAAUCAAGAACGAAAGUCAGAGGUUCGAAGGCGAUUAGAUACCGCCCUAGUUCUGACCGUAAAUGAUGCCAACUGACAAUUCGCUCGUGGACUCUGUUUCAUGAGCGGGCGGUCUUCCCGGAAACGAAAGUCUUUCGGUUCCGGGGGAAGUAUGGUUGCAAAGCUGAAACUUAAAGGAAUUGACGGAAGGGCACCACCAGGAGUGGAGCUUGCGGCUUAAUUUGACUCAACACGGGAAACCUCACCCGGCCAGUACAUUGUAAGGAUUGACAGACCGAUAGCUCUUUCAUGAUUCGGUGAAUGGUGGUGCAUGGCCGUUCUUAGUUCGUGGCAAUUGAGCUGUCUGGUUUAUUCCGAUAACGAGCGAGACGCUGACCAUUAACUAGUGCGCAGAUUACUUCGGUUGUCUGUGAUCACUUCUUAAAGGGAUUUGUGGCGACUAGCCUCAUGAAAUGGCGCAAUAACAGGUCUGUGAUGCCCUUAGAUGUUCGGGGCCGCACGCGUGCUACAAUGGUGGUAUCAGCGUGAUUGUUYUACUCCGAAAGGAGAUGGCAAACAGUUGAGAUAUUAUUAUGGCUGGNAUUGAGUAUUGAAAUUUUYAHUCAUGAANGAGGRAUUCCAAGUAAAUGCGAGUBAUCHACUYGCAUUGAUUAMGUUCCCUGCCCUUUGUACACACCGCCCGUCGCUUCCCCGGGAVUGAGUUGUUUUCGAGAAAGCCACGGAACCGGUGGCAUGAUUGUYGCUGGAAAGUGGUUUWAUYGCAACGGCUUGNAACCGGGG
rnacentral:rRNA from 1 species